rnacentral:rRNA from 1 species
AAACCAACAGGGAUUGCCUUAGUAGCGGCGAGUGAAGCGGCAAAAGCUCAAAUUUGAAAUCUGGCUCUUUCAGAGUCCGAGUUGUAAUUUGAAGAAGGUAUCUUUGGGUCUGGCUCUUGUCUAUGUUUCUUGGAACAGAACGUCACAGAGGGUGAGAAUCCCGUGCGAUGAGAUGAUCCAGGCCUAUGUAAAGUUCCUUCGAAGAGUCGAGUUGUUUGGGAAUGCAGCUCUAAGUGGGUGGUAAAUUCCAUCUAAAGCUAAAUAUUGGCGAGAGACCGAUAGCGAACAAGUACAGUGAUGGAAAGAUGAAAAGAACUUUGAAAAGAGAGUGAAAAAGUACGUGAAAUUGUUGAAAGGGAAGGGCUUGAGAUCAGACUUGGUAUUUUGUAUGUUACUUCUUCGGGGGUGGCCUCUACAGUUUAUCGGGCCAGCAUCAGUUUGGGCGGUAGGAGAAUUGCGUUGGAAUGUGGCACGGCUUCGGUUGUGUGUUAUAGCCUUCGUCGAUACUGCCAGCCUAGACUGAGGACUGCGGUUUAUACCUAGGAUGUUGGCAUAAUGAUCUUAAGUCGCCCGUCUUGAACCACGGACCA